UGCAUCUGAAGCCUGACGAGGAUGAGAACCUCCGGGGGCAAGAGGUUCGACUCGAGCGCAGCGAGAGAACGUUGCUUCAGCAACGGCCCGCAGGGCGAGCCACGCAG
rnacentral:sRNA from 1 species